CUGGCCCCCUCCUUCACUUCCCUGCGACUCUGCAGUCUCACCACUGGAGCCCCUGUUUCUCAUUGGACAGUCGGCUCAAGCUGACCAACUCAUAAUUCUGGUGGGAGGGGGUGACACAAGCAGUUAAGCGAUGUUGCAGUGAAAAUGAGCUCGGCUGAUGUCCCAUCCUAUUACGGAGAUAAACACCAAGCCAAAGCGGGUGCUCCUGGCGGCAGCAGAUGCCAGAAGGACCCUGUUCGUCUGCAGUGAGAAUCCUGUGCCAAGCUCAUCCCUGGGACCUGUCUCUGUAUCAGUUUCCCUCUACCUUCUGCUGACUGAUUUGAAGUCACAUCUCAGUGGGUGGCACUUCCUCACCCUCCGGAUGGUAACUGGGAACCAGCAACCAGGACUACAACCACCAGGGCCAUGAGGAAAUCAUCGCUGAAAUAAGUAAUAAAUAAAUAAAUGCUAUAAAUAAAUAAAUAAAUGCUCAAACUUAUGGGAAUCUUGGUUGAAAUGUGUAAAUAAGAGUAAUAAAAUAAGCUCCCAAAUCAUAGCCAUUUAUU
rnacentral:lncRNA from 1 species